GUGAAUAUAGUUUAACAUAAAUACUAGAUUGUGAAUCUAGAGAUAGAAGUGUAACCCUUCUUAUUCACC
rnacentral:tRNA from 1 species